UUCCGGAGCUAACGCGUUAAGUCGACCGCCUGGGGAGUACGGCCGCAAGGUUAAAACUCAAAUGAAUUGACGGGGGCCCGCACAAGCGGUGGAGCAUGUGGUUUAAUUCGAUGCAACGCGAAGAACCUUACCUGGUCUUGACAUCCACGGAAGUUUUCAGAGAUGAGAAUGUGCCUUCGGGAACCGUGAGACAGGUGCUGCAUGGCUGUCGUCAGCUCGUGUUGUGAAAUGUUGGGUUAAGUCCCGCAACGAGCGCAACCCUUAUCCUUUGUUGCCAGCGGUCCGGCCGGGAACUCAAAGGAGACUGCCAGUGAUAAACUGGAGGAAGGUGGGGAUGACGUCAAGUCAUCAUGGCCCUUACGACCAGGGCUACACACGUGCUACAAUGGCGCAUACAAAGAGAAGCGACCUCGCGAGAGCAAGCGGACCUCAUAAAGUGCGUCGUAGUCCGGAUUGGAGUCUGCAACUCGACUCCAUGAAGUCGGAAUCGCUAGUAAUCGUGGAUCAGAAUGCCACGGUGAAUACGUUCCCGGGCCUUGUACACACCGCCCGUCACACCAUGGGAGUGGGUUGCAAAAGAAGUAGGUAGCUUAACCUUCGGGAGGGCGCUUACCACUUUGUGAUUCAUGACUGGGGUGAAGUCGUAACAAGGUAACCGUAGGGGAACCUGCGGUUGGAUCACCUCCUUACCUUAAAGAAGC
rnacentral:rRNA from 2 species